GUCACUGUGAACAGUUUAUUUGGGACUCAUGGUUUCAGAACUCUCAGUCCAUAGAUGGUCAUCUCCAUUGCUUUGGGCUCAAGGUAAGGCAGAACACCAUGGCAGAAGGUGUGGAGGAGGAAGACAACUCAGGACAUGACAAUCAGGAAGCAGAGAAACUCUACUCACCAGGAGUGCCCAAAGGCAUGCUCCCAAUGACCCACCUCCUACAGCCACACCGUGCCUGGCCAGGUUACCACUCACUUAACCCCUAUAAGUGGAUUAAUGCACUGAUUAGGUUAUGAGUCUCAUAACCCUCUCACUUCACCUCUGAGCCUUCUAGUGUUGUCUCACAUGUGAGUUUUGGGGGAUACCUUUUAUCUAAACCAUAACAGGAAGUAAGAAGGGAGAGAAAGUAAUGAGCUCAGAAAAAAAUGAUACAGUAUGAAGUAUCAUUACUCCAUCAGGAGGCAUGUUGGGAGAUUUUUCUCUCUGCUCAACUAUGGACAGAAACUUCUACAUGCUUAUUACCAGGAUCAACUUGGAUGUGCACAGGCCUCUGUACACACAUAUUCUGAUAGCCCUUCUGGUAUCCUGAGGGAGCCUGAGGCUGCUACCAUUUGGGCACCUUUUAGGAACCCAGCAGAGGAACUUCCUAUUCAGUUAGGACCAAAGCAUUUUCGGCCACAUGUAUGAAGGUCUUUCAGCAUCGAAGCCUUUUAAAUUGUGGAUGGACAGAAUGCCUUUAUUUGUUUAUUUUUAUGUGGUGCUAAGGAUCAAACCCAGUGCCUGACACAUGCUAGGCAAGUGCUCUGCCACUGAGCCAUAGCCCCAGCCCCAGCAUUGAAGCUUUUUGAGCUUGGAUAACACUAAUCCAUUUUUCAUAGAUGCCAUGAGACAGAUUUCUCCUGUCCCACAGAUUCUUUCUUCUAGUCUGUUCUCCUUAUCUUUCCAAGCAAAAAGAGGAACAGGGAAGUAGAAAAUAUAACCUCUAAGAAUUCCUCAUCUUUGAUUCUGCAUCUGUUAGCAUCUUUUAUCUGGUAUGGAACAAAGGACCUUUCCAUUUCUAUCAGAUAAUUGUCAUCAAUUGUUGUCUUCAUUAAUUUUAAUUCCUUUAUUACUUAAUUCAAAUGUAAAAUACACCAUGUUAACAGUUGCUGCAAUUUUAAUUUUAUAUGUUAACCUUAACUCAUUUUUUCAAAAGUUAAAGUUUAGUUAUUUUAUUUUUUAUUUUGUGGUACUAGGAAUGGAACCCAGGGCCUUGCACUUUUAAGGCAAGUACUGUACCACUGAACUGCAUCCCCAGCCCUUCACUUUAACUUUAACUCAACCUUUCAUAAAUAUUUUGUGAUUUCUUAGAUACGUCACUCAGAUGUUGACCUAGCAUUAAUAAUUCUUUGACAUAAUUUCCUUUUUAAUAAAAAAUGCUCUUCAUUUGCAUUAACUAAAUUCAAAUAGAAAGAAGUUAUGGAUGAAAUGGCAUGUUGCUAAUGAAAUAUGAUAAAUCUGUUAAAUUACAUGUUUGAACAGUUUUUCUUAUAAUUUGUUGUGCCUUUUGCGAUCAUCUGCAUUGACAGUGGUUCUGACAUCUAAUCCCUGGCUGUGGUAGGCAGGCCAAAUUUGUUAUAAUAUCAAGGGAGUCUGUUUUCUGCACUUCACUCUCUCUGCUUCUCCCCAUACAAGCCUGUUCUUGUUUUAAAUAUUAUAUAUUUCUCUCUGUGGACUGUCAAACUGUGGAAAGUUACAUGUUGGAACCAUUGUUAAUGUCGAUGAUUGGGAAGAUAGAACUUGCUCAGUUCUGUCUGCAUAGAGGGCAAGAAGUGGAGGGAGCCCAGAGUCUUGCCGUUAAAUACACUCAGGUAGAGAGGUAGAGGUGAGCCUGGUGUGGUUGAGCAUAGCCAGCACAGCAGCUUCAGGGCUGCUCUGUGGUCACACAUCAUUGCUGUGCCUUGUACUUGCCCACAGAAUGCCUUAGUUCCUCUUGCUAUCUGAAGGUGUCAUCAGAAUGUGGGGUGAUAUCCGGCUGGUUGUCCAUGCUGAUGUUUUUGAGUAGCUUCUAAUAGAAGUGAAAAAGAAAACAUAACCAAAAUUUGUUUCUUUCAGUUCAUUAUGGCUAUCAUAUUUAAAGGAAUUGUUUGUAUUUAUUUAUGAUAGAAUUGCUUUGUUAUUGAAUUGAUUGACUUAAGAUGCUGGAAUGAUUGGCUUUUUCAAACUUAAGUGCAAAAGCAGAAUUACUAUGAAAUAAAUUCUCAACCAUUUUACCUCAGAUGAGGUCUUUCAGUGCUCUCUUGAACUUAUUUUCUCCAUCAAAUAAAGUUCAUUUAUAAAGUUAGCAUAGUUUCUCAUCAGCACCCUACCAUUGAUAAAAUAGAACCUAAAAUGUUGAGACAUGGAAAGAAAGUGACAAAGUGCUUUUGUCUGCACUGCUGGUCAGAGGAAAUUCAAGUUAGUUUUGUUGAAGGUUUGGUGUUUUCCAUGAGCAGUGAAUGAAAGCACCUUUUUUUCUUUUUUCUCUUUUUUGAGGGUGGGGGGAAUGCCAGUUAUUGAAUCCAGGGGCUCUUGACCACUGAGCCACAUCCCCAGCCCUAUUUUGUAUUUUAUUUAGAGACAGGGUCUUAUCGAGUUUCUUAGUACCUUGCUCUUUUGCUGAAACUGGCUUUGAACUCACCAUUCUCCUGCCUCAGCCCCCCGAGCCACUGGGAUUACAGGCCUGCACCAUUGUGCCCAGCCCCUUCCUCUUU
rnacentral:lncRNA from 1 species